ACGUUUGGCUGUGCCGGCCGCAUGCAUUUUUCGGUUAUCAGGAAGAAAUUCAGUUCAUGUUAUUUCAGCCGAAAACAGGAGCCACAGAAGAAGCUUCGCAAGGACUCUCCAGAAGCUGGAGGAAGAAAAUGCCAGGAAGGUCCUCUGUCAGCCCACGUUCUUGCUCUCCCCACUGCUUUGUCUGAGCUACGUGAGCAGCGGUGCCUCAUCUACACAAUGAACAAGGGAAGUGAAAGGUUGCAGGAGCUCCACAGGGAUGCACUGAGGCAGACGAGUAAAUACUCGUAAAGAUUUAUCUUCUGGGAUCUCCCUGAGAGAGAGAAAUGGAGCCAUGGAAGCCAGUCAUACAAACUGCUGUAGGUUUUCCAACUGCAUCAACACUUGUGAAGCUGAAAAUAGCCACCGGGUCUAACUGUGUUAGUCGAAGCACCUUCUCUGUUCUCAUUACCAGAUCAUCUGCUACAAGAACCAGCAUCAUGCACGCAUACGCUCAGGUAUAAACACAAAUUGACAAGAAUCAGGAGGACCUGAAAUAUCUAGAUAAAGGAAGCCUUUUACAGAGAUACAGUGGAAGAAUUAGCAGGGUUGUCUUUUGUCCACUCUUGGCUUUCUGAGAGGAUCUGGGAAGGCAGCCUUGUUAGUCUUGUUAAUAUGCUAACUAUAAGGACUGUGCAACACAAAUUCUUUCAACAACCUGCUAGUGUUAGAAAGACAUAAAAUAAAAUAAUUAAUUUAGGAACAAAAGUCAGUAAGAUUUCAUUAUUGAUUGGGAAUUCAAUCGAAUAACAACAACAAAAAAUGUGUAUGCUUAAACAUGAAAGGUCCAAAGAUGUUAUUGUUUUGUCAAAACAAAUUGUUGAAGAUAUCUCUGUUCUGCAUGAAAAUAGAUUUAUUGAAAAUCUUAAGUGGCAUAGUUCCCCCAUUUAUCAAAUGAUGUUCUGUGGGGUUUUGUUUUGAGUACUGAGCAGUUGCAUCAAAAUCUUUUUAAUUUGGGGAACUGUGACAGUUCUUUUUUAACUUCUGUUUACCAGUUCUUAAAAAAUUAAGAAAAAUAUAUACUACAUAAUUCUAUCUUGGCAUGCUACUGUGUGACCAUCAUGAUGGCAAAUGUUUGUAAUAAAAUCAGUUAAUAAGCAAGCCGCUAUUUUAGCCACACUAACUUCAAUCCCAGACCUAGUUUAAGAAGUAUCUUCAUGUAGGACAUUUAUUUUUCUAUUUUUCGCAUGUCUGUUAAGGCUGGUAUAAUCAAGAGGUUAAUUAGAAUCUUAAACGCAUAGUUCACAUGUUGAGAGAUUUGUCUCACUCUAUGAAAAAAAGCUUUAUGACAUCGGAGAGUGUUUUUAUUAUUAUAAUUGCCCAUUUUGAAGAAAAUGUCUUGUGUAUUGGCAGCAUGAGAGCCCAAAUGAGAGACUAUAAACAUUUUAAAAUAGUAAAUCCCCAAUUUUCUUUUAUUAUUUAUAAUACUUGAACUCUCUUGCUUUCUUGAUAUUCACAUUGCCACAAAGUUCCUGAAGCUAUACUUAUUGUGCCAUCUACUAUGUUGUGAGUAUAAAGACUGUACAGAACUGCACACAAUAAAAAAC